rnacentral:lncRNA from 1 species
UACGUUUGACUUAUUUGUUUUGCAGUUAUGUUGGAGCACUUCUCUCCAACUUUCACUUUUGAUGAAGCACACAUCUCCAUCCCUCAAUUUGGUUGAAGCACCUGUCUCCAACUCACGUUGAUGCACUUUGUCACCAACCGUACUUGAUGUACUUUGUCACCAACACUAAAUUUUGUUGAAGCCCCUGUCUCCAACUCACGUUGAUGCACUUUAUCACCAACCAUUGAUGCACUUUGUCAUCAACACUCAAUUUUGUUGAAGCAUCUGUCUCCAACUCAUGUUGAUGCACUUUGUCACCAACACCCAAUUUCGUUGAAGCACCUGUCUCCAACCCCCGUUGAUGCACUUUGUCACCAACACCCAAUUUUGUUGAAGUACCUGUAUUCAACACCUGUUGAUGUACUUUGUCACCAACACUCAAUUUUGUUAAUCUUCAUCUUGUGCCAUAUUUGUUUGCACCUCUUUAAAUAUUCUUACAAUUCUAGCUAAAUAUUCCCCCUUUAGUAUUCGCUUGAAUAGAUUAAUUGUUGGGUUUAAUUUAGUUGAUAGUUAAUCAUAACUCCCUAUGAGUACGAUAUCUGGACUUACAAUUCUAUAUUACUUGUAUGAUCACGUAUACUUGCGUGUGUAUUUGGGACCAACAAGUUUUUGGCACCGUUGCCGGGGACUUAGAAAUUAACUAUUCUACUAGAUUAGAUUUUUACUUUUUGUCUAUUCAAGUUUUAUUUAUUUAUUUUAUCUUAGUUUAAAAUUUUAUUAUCUUUAUUUACAUGGUAUCUUGGAAUGAGAAUUGGUCAAAUAUUGGUUAUUCUUAUUGGUGAUCCAUGUCCAUAUUGUGGGUGUGACAAAAUUGUGAAUCUCAAUUGUAUGGGUGGAAUUUUGUAAUGUGUAUGGCCGUCAAGGUGAUCAUUGGGAGGGUUGUCUUAAUUCUUAUUAUCCUUCUCAGAACUCUUAUUAUGAUGUUUCUAAUAAUGUUUAUGAGUUUGAUAUGAGCAAUGAAGUGGAGGAUGAGGAAUGUGUUGCCCCUAUUAUGGAGAUGAUGAGGCAAGUAGCUGAGCAACAAGAUAAAAAUCAAAAUGCUAUACAAAGAAUUAGUGCAGCAAUCAUGAGAAUAAAGGCCGAGGCGGAAGAAUUGGCUAAAGAAAGCGAGUUCCUGCAAGAAGAUAAUUUUGAAGAAGCAGAUACAGUGAGCCAAUCUUGGCUAGAGGAACAAGCUCAGCUAAUAAAAUUUCACGAGUCUCUCCGUGAUGGUCUUUCAAAUAUGACAGAACAACUGAUAGAAGGAAGAACUGAGCUCAGGCAAGAGAUAAACCAAUUUGGCUCAGAUAUCCAUGACCUGCAGGCUAAAUUGAAUAAAAAGGUUGAGGCGUCUGAUGCCCUACAACUAAUUUUUGUGGAUACUGGCCAGCUUGUGGAGCGGAAAUAGGAAUUUCAACCAUUUGACCAAAAUAUAUUAUGAUGUCAAGAUUAAGAAAAUGUACAAAAGUGAGGAUGUUAAAAGUGAACAAGUUUUAAAGUUGGAGCGUAUUGAACCUCAUUUGUCAUGAUCCGACGAGGGCCAUGACCGGCGCUAAGUGAGUCUAAGACUACUAAGCAAGCGUACCUCAUUUUUCCCACAUAAAAAAAAUCCGGCAUAGUUUCCUCUGUACCGAGAACAAACCAAAGCUUUAAACCUGUUAGUUUUCAAUCAACAUGUGUCCAAUGCACCAUAACCCUAGUAAUUUAACAUGCUAAGAUUAGGAAAUAUUGACAAUCUCAAGCCACAAGCUCCCACCACAACUAUAUAAUUUUUUUAAGCUACGCUACCGCUAACACAAGCCAAAAUACAAUCCCAAGGCUAACUUAAGGAGCAAAACUCUAGAGUUUAACAAAACAACAUACUAAAGUAGUCUAACAAAAUGAUAGCCCAUGCGAAGCAAGUGCGGGGAUUACCGGAUCCAUCAUUCGCUCUGUCUAUCGCACUUCCUGAGUCAAAGUGUCAGCCUCACCUAGAUUAUCUGUGGGAGAGAAAAAGGAAACAAGAAACACGGUCAGUCACACUAACUGAGUGAGUAAUAAUAUCAACAACAACAUUUAUUUGGGACAAGUAUAGAUAAAAUAUCAUGCAUUUUAUAAGGUUUUCAACAAUAUGCUAUUUAAACCAAUAUAACAGUUUGUGGAUGAAAACAAUGAAUUAAGUAAGUAAAAUCAUCAUGAUUCAAUAAUUAUCUGUAUCAUAUCCUUUUUGAUUUAUAGUGGGAAGUACCUAAACCAGAGUCGAUAUACUUUUUGACACCAUGGGUCUACCAUGACCGUCUGACUACCCUGUUAGCUAGGUUCCCUUCUAGAGGGUAUGGGUGUGAUGUAUACAAGUCUAUCAUACAAGAUGCACCAGGUCUAACGAUCCCAACGUUUGAUAAUGAAGAUCUGGCCAGGUUGAUUCCCAAGGUCCAUUACUUUAUAACGCAAUGAGUUUUCAUACUUCUUUCUAACAAAAAUAUUGGGUUCCAAAUAUAUGGAAAUCGUGAAUAAAUACAAUUUCAAAGCAUGUCGUGAUAAAUAAAACUUAGGUAUUAAAGCAUUAUUGUGCAUAUAUCAAUAUGUAUUGAAUUAUACCAUUACUUGUCCAUAUACAAGUAAAUAAACUUUUGUCAAAAUAUUUUUGAUGCAGGAAACUAGUUUCAAAUAUGCUAUAGUUGAAAAUCAACUAUGGAAGAGUCAUCACUCACGGUACUCUUGCCGAAUGGCUCCAAGUAGCUUCCAAUAAUUGCGUCGCCAAAUAUCAAUUAUCUAAAAAUACAUUAUAACAUUUGAAUAUUAAUUACUCUUAAAUUCAUGAAAUCAAAGUAUUCCUAGUAAUAUUACACUUCUCAAACCCGUUGCAAUUCUACUACCCAACCUAAAACUAGAAUAGAACUAACAAAAGUUGGCAUUUUAUUAUAAAAGAAAGCUUUUUGUUCAAUUUCAAUCGGUAUUAAUUUAAUCAUAUCCUUCACAGACUUUCUCGUAUACAUAUUAUUUUGAGAGGAAGAAAGUAUUUCGAUUAAUUCAAGUUUGAUGCCAAAAAUCAUCCUUUGCCCCAAAUUCAAACAUUUCUAUUAAAUUUCAGAUUACAUCUUCAAUCUUGGCUAUUGUUGCUAAUUACUCAUAAAAAGAAUGGAUUCCUUAGUGAUUAGGCAUAUCAGAAACUUACUUGCACAAAUCAAAAAGGGAGAAAAGUAAUUGAGUCUUCUUCCACACUAUUUGUAUUCAAAGUUUUAAAGGUAAAAUCUUCUACUUCUCCUGGCUUCCUUUCCUCCUCUUUAUCGUAUCUUCUUUGUUUCUCCUUUUUCUUUCUUCUUUUUCUUCUUUUCUUUUUGUCUUUUUUUCUUAGUAGAUUGCUGCUGGGCAGCUUCUGUUGAAACCAGCAACGCUGGUUUAUACUCUCUUUUGAACAAUCGACUUUUUAUCUUUUGUCUCUUGACCGCCUCUUUUUUUCUCCUUUUUUUUGAUUUUUUGGGUCAGAUUUUAUUAUAUUCAAGGUCAAUGGGCUGGUUUACCUAAAGAAAAUUUAUUUAAUGGGUUGGAGCCCAAUAUUUUUCUUUUUGGGUCUUUACAUUCUUUUCCCCUUACGAAAAUUCGGUCCCCUACUUUUAAACAUACACAUACUUCUGGAUUCAAACAAGUGGGGAUAUUUGGCUCGCAUCACUUUAUCGUCUUCC